rnacentral:lncRNA from 10 species
GGGUGACAGAGUGAGACUCCGUCUCAAAAAAAAAAAAAAAGUUGCUUUUGCUCAAAAAUAGUGUUAUGUUACAUGCAUAUAUAUCUCUCUCCAUCAAUUGAGGAGAAAUUUGUCUAUUAGUGUCCAAAGGUAAGAGGAGAUUGUGAUUGGAUGUUACCAUGGUCCUUAAUUUCUGACCCGAGUGAAACAAUAAAAGGGACUGAAACAAAUUCUUCCCCCACAGCACUGGGCUGCACCUGCAGGGGAUGGGCAACAACUAAUGCUACCUGCUGUCUACCUUCCUAGCCAAAGUGGCCCCUCAUUUCCUUUUUUUUUUUUAAUUAAACUUUAAGUUCUAGGGUACAUGUUCACAACGUGCAGGUUUGUUGCAUAUAUAUACAUGUGAGUGGCCCCCUCAUUUCUAUCUGCUCUGGAACCUAAGGCUGUUUGAGAAGGCUGAAGCACUACAGGUGAAACCUGACACUGUAAUUAAUCAGGAUUAGAGAACGAGUGAAAUCCUUUAACCUGCCUCAGAUUCUUGGUGUCUCUCAGUUUCUCUUUCACUGUGGCCAAAGAACUGAAAUAUGAUCUUGUCUGCAAAUAGGGAAUAAAGGGGGACAGAAGAGACAGCUCCAAUUUGAAAGACCUUAAAAUAAUAAAUUAGGAUCAUAAAUGUAACAAAAGCAGGAGUCCUUUGUACAUUUGGGAAAACAGGUUGAAAUCAGACACUUAGUCUUGGUAGCCUUGAACAUAAUCCCUCAAGACUGAGGCUAAUGAAAUUCCAACAACCCAGGUGUAUACUAGACACAGACAUGAAGUUAUUGGUGCUGUAGCUAUCCGUGCUUACUGAGACUAAGCACAAUUGGCAAUACCAUUGUUCACUGCCAAUUGCUCAUCUUUUGAGCCACCACUUGGUGUGCACCACCUUCCUCCUCUCCUGCCCUGGCUCACUGGGGCAAUGCUUGCUCUAAGCUAUUGAUAUUGCUAUGCCACAGCUGCUCACUAGGGACACAGUAUCUACAGCACAUCUGCCAAAUCAACCUGCUUCUGCAGUCACCCCAAGGAUGGAAAACAGCUUUGUGCUUUGCCCUCUACCUGGGCUAUGCUGUAUUAACAAUAUUAUAAAUACUGUAUUAAUGAUAAUACCCAACAUUUAUUAAGCACUUACCAUGUGUAAGCCACUGUGUAUAGUGCUUUAUACAUUCUCAAAUUUUUCCUUACAAUAUGACCUUAUGAGGUCAGUGUCAUUAUCUCUAAGAAACAAUCUUAGAUAAAUUAAGUUGUUCAAUGUCACUGGUGAGAAAGAAUUUGAAUCCAGAUCUGACUCCAAACCUAUGAUGCCUUGUAUAUAUCCUCAGUGCCUGUCUAGGUAUGGGAUUCCUCCCACCCCCAGCCUGAAAUAAUCCCUGAGACAGAGAUUUACAUGCAAAUAGUUUAUUUAGGAGGCGAUCCCAGGAAAGUGGAACAGGGAUAGGAAGAGUAAGAUAUUAUAGUGAUGGGAAGAAAGCUAAUAAAUGGUGUGUUAUCCAGCCAGUUACCCCUGUACCCCAAUACUGCUGGGGAACUCUGGGAGACAGCAUAAAACACAUCUCAGAGUUAUCCCAAUCGAAGGGUGAGGAAGCUCUUCAUCCAUCACUGGAUAAUCCCCACCUGUCACUGACUGAGGGCUUCUUCCAGGGGAAUUAAUGUCCUGCCUUUCCAGCUUGCCUCAGUUUGCUCCUUUUGCUCCAGAAAAAAGGCUCUCAGCCAGGAAGUCAUAGAUGUUCACAAUAAGAAGCCACCUGCAUCUGCUACACUGCCUUACAGAUAUUUUAAUAAAACAAAAUUUUAACAUUUUAAUCACUAUUAAUGUUUCUCUCUUUGGAUCACGCAGAAGUCUUCAGGGUCUGCAGGGCAAUAAGUGACUGUCAUUGUGCUGUAUUAAAAUUCACAACUGACCCACAAACAUGACACAUUGUCCCCAACCAUUUCUUCCUUGUGAUGGGAUCAUUCCAAAGGGGGUCCCUUGAUUCUUGCUGCCAACAGAUCCUUGUCAGACCCAUCCCACUGGCUUUCCUAUCAUAAUCAGCAAUAUCUAUACAGUCCUAGCAUGACCCCAGUUAAACUGUCAAAUGAAGGCCCUUGUAACAUAUGGUUUGUAUUUCUCCUUUAAAAAAAUUUUCAGGAAGCAAUAAAAUCAGGAUUUUAUAAAGCAAAAACAGUGGGCUCUUUCUUUCCUAAAUUAAGCUAUUUUGAUUAAAGUGAAGACUGCAGAUAUAUAAGCUUCAGUGGGAAAUGCAAAGAUUAUGGCCCAAUUCCAUUUUCUCUAUGCUCCAUGCCCUUCCUCUCCUUGAUGCUAUUCCAUCAGGGACCUACCAUCCCUAGUUAACCAACUACUUCCAGGAUCACCAGGGCCCUGCAACAGAAGGAGCUGGACACCCCAAUGUGGAAGGCUGGUUUUGAAUUAGGUUAGAAUAGGAAUCUUAACCUGAAAUCCUUGGAGAGGCUCCUGAGUGCCUCUGAUAACAUUAUAUAUGUAAUCAUGUCUCCAAAAUGUGCUCAUUAGCAUUUUUCUGAAGAAAAAAUUAUAAGGCUUUGAGCAAUUUCUCAAAGUUGUAUAUUAUCUCAAAAGGCCAAGAACCUUUGGGUU